rnacentral:lncRNA from 1 species
UCCUGAAUAUGCAUCAGAUGGUCUGUUUUCCCUCAAGUCAGAUGUAUUCAGUUUCGGAGUAGUCAUACUUGAGAUGAUCAGUGGACGAAAGAACACAGGAUUUUACCAAUCAGAAGAAGCAUUAAACUUGUUAGGUUAUGUAAGUGCAGAAACUCAGACCUACAUCAUUUUUGUCCUUUUUGCAAGUUUUGAUAUCUAACUGGAAGUUAUCACAGGCAUGGAGAAUGUGGAUAGAAGAAAGGGCAAUGCAAUUAACAGAGAAGUCAUUACUAGAAUCAUGCAAUAGAAGUGAAGUGAUGAAGUGUAUCAAUGUUGCACUCUUGUGCGUGCAAGAAGAUUCAAAUGAUCGUCCUAAAAUGUCAGAUGUCAUUGUAAUGUUGGUAGGAGAAGGUACGAGUCUUCAGAGACCUAAUAGACCAGCUUUUGUAAUAAGAACACACGCGUCUAGCAGACCAUCUUCUCCCUCAAAAGUCUCUAACAAUCAAGUGACAAUUACAGAAGAAGGAGGACGGUAGUAAUGGUGUGAGAUCAUCUUAAUUUUCAUUUAUAUAUGAUACAAUUGUAAUGUUUUCCUGCAGACUUCUAAAGCACGAGCAGAAAAAUAAUCUAUAUUUUGUUAGUAUCUUGAUUGUAAUUUGUAGCCAUGACAUUGUUAUCCUUACACAUAUAUUACAUGCACUUUUCAGAUCUCAAUCAUUUAUCUCUUAAUGCUUCCAAGUGGGGCUGCUCAACUAAAACCUUAUCUCAUAGUCUCUCGAGAACAACCAAAUAUAACAACAUCAUUAAUCAAUGGCCAAUCAAUUAAUUACAAUCAUUACAUAGUUGAACAAAUAGGGUUAGAAAAACUCAAUUAUAUAAAAAUGUAACAAGAAUUCAUCUUGCAUAAGGUUUUACCAAAUUUCUAGAUAGAAAAUUAGCUACUCAUAAAAGUAUGUAAAAAUACACUAAGAAAAUUCAUAACCAAUAAUAAAAAAUAGAAAAAAGAAAGUAACGGAAAACUCAUUAUGUAUCAAAUCUUUCGCCUUGCUCCACAAUGGCUCCUUGGUCUCACCUUAGGUCAAACCACCUCCAAUACAUGUUUAUGAACUAUUUAUAGGUGUAGAAAAGUUUCAAAUAAAUUAAUCAAUUUCAAAAUAAUUUGAAAAAAAAUCAAAUUUAGAAUUGACUUGACACACCAUCCACGGACAAAUUUCCAGUGACAAAAAUUGUUGGGUCGCUUGGAAUGGUGUUAUUCUUCAAUACUUGUGAUUUCAUAACUUUUCCUUGGGGACAAUCAUUAUUUCCCCACUUGUCUCCCUCUUCUUUUACCUUUUUUUUCUUGUUUUAAUUUAAUUUUGCUCCGAAUUUUGACAUCUUCAAAUUAUUUCAUACAAUCUAUUAUAUACCCAUAUUUAUAUGAGUGGAUUGAAGUCCAAUUCAUUUUCAAUAUUGCUACUUUUUUGCCGCCACUAAUUAGAAGAAAAAUGAAAGUAUGUUAGCAAUAAGAAAUAUCAACUUGUUUUUUACUACAUUCAUCGACUCCAAAGCAGAAACGUCUCCUUAUUGUUUCAGCCAUAUUCAACAAAUUGUGUUAUGUGUAGCCAUCGAAAUGAACAAUCGUUGGCCUCUAGUACUCUUUUUAUGCUUCAAACUCAACAGUAAUCUAUGUUUUGGAGGGGACACUAUUUCCGCGAAUAAAUCUCUUUCAUUUGGCGAAACAAUAGUCUCUUCAGGUGAGAAAUUUGAGCUUGGUUUCUUCAAAUCAGGUAAUUCUUUCAACUACUACAUAGGCAUAUGGUACAAGAACACUAUUUUAUGGCAAAAUGUAGUAUGGGUAGCAAAUAGGGAUAAACCACUUGAUUAUGGUACUGCUAACUUAACAAUUCUUCAAGGCAACCUGGUGCUUAUCGAUAAAUUUCAAGGUAUAGUUUUGUCAACACAUGUUGCUAGGACUAUUACUUCAAAUAAUUCAGUCAUAGCAGUUCUUCGUGACGAUAUAAAUUUGAUUUUGAGUGAUAUGUCAAAUUCAUCAGCAACCUUAAUACUAUGGGAAAGUUUUGACUAUCCAACAGAUACAUUGUUGCCUGGUGCUAAGCUUAGAUACGACAAACGUCGUACACAUAGGGGACAGGUUCUGAUUUCAUGGAAGAGUUUGAGUGAUCCAGCACCAGGAUUGUAUUCUCUAGAACUAGACCCCAUCCAUGCCCGAUUUGUUAUAAAAUGGAAUAGGACUAAACAAUUUUGGGCAAGUGGUUCAUGGAAUGGCCAUACGUUCAGCCCGUUUCCUAAAAUGGGGUUAGACUACACGUAAAAUUACAACUAUACCAACAAUGGAAAUGGAUCAUAAGUUACAUAUUCCCUUUCUAAUUAUACUAGUUCAUGGCCACCAAAGUGGAAAAUAGAUGUCUCAGGAAAAAUUAAGGAACUCGUAUGGUUGGAUAGUGACUCUCAUUGGACUCUAUUGUGGUCUCAACCUAGAGAACAAUUUACGCUUAUUGUGGGGCAUUUGGAGUUUGCAAUAAUGCUAAUUCAUCCUGAAACUGUUUAAGCGGUUUCAAGCCAAGAUCAUAUAGAGAAUGGAGUUCGAAUGAUUAUAUGAGUGGCUGUGUAAGAAAUGAAAAGUUAAAGUGCAGUGCAAUUAAUAAAGAUGAGGAUAGUUUUUGGAUGAAUUCAAUUAUGAGAUUACCUGCUUCUCCAGAUACUAAUAUCACCAUUAGCGAAGCAUCACAGUGUAGAUCUACUUGUUUCAACGAUUGCUCUUGCACUGCUUAUACUUAUGAUGGUUCCGGUACCUGUUCAAUUUGGAGAGGAUAUCUAUUAAAUCUGCAACAACUCAGCGAAAAUGAAACAGGAAGGAGUAUCUUUGUCAAACGCGGCUCAACUGAAGGUUAGAAUAGCUAAAACUUAGUAGGAUUUCUUAUAUACAUUAGCAAUUAGCAACAACAAUGAUUCUCCUUUUCCUUUUUCCUUAAGCUUGAAAUAAAUUCUUAAAAGGUAUUUGUGAGUUAGCCUUAUUAAGUUCCACCCGAGGCAUUCGUCAAGUUAUUCAUAUCAUAAUAGAAGGUUGAUGUUGACAGUUGAAAGACUAAAGAAAAAUUAAGUCUGAAUUUUGAUUUUUAGACAAAAGAUGAUGGAACAUCAAUCCAAAUAUUUCAGUCACUGCAAUUCUUCGUGAUGAUGGAAAUUUGAUUUUGAGUGAUGUGUCAAAGGCAUCAACACCCUUACUACUUUGGCAAAGUUUUGACUACCAAACACACAUACUUUUGCCUGGUGCUAAACUUGGAUAUGACAAACAUACACAAAGAAAACACAUUCUGGUUUCAUAGAAGAAUUUGAGUGAUUCAGCACCAGGAUUGUAUUCUGUGGAAAUAGACCCAAAGCAUGUUGUUAUAAAAUAGAAUAGGACUACAGAGUAUUGGGCAAGUGGUUCAUGGGAUGGCCAAAUGUUCAGCACAGUACCUGAAAUGAGGUUAAGCUACAUAUAUGAUUGUAGAUACAGAAAGGACUAUAUUUGUCAAGAGUGGCUCACCUUUAGGUUAGAAUAGCAUAGUGUAACAUAGCUUGAUUCUUUAUUCAUAAUGGUACUAUGAUAUUGAUAGAAUUCCUUAUUAACGUUAGCACUUAACAACAAUGAUUCUCCUUUUCCUUUUCCUGUGUUGAGGAGCUUGUUGAGCAAACUAGAACUUAAGAUAGAAAUAAUUCUUAAAAAGUAUUAAUGAUAAGUUCUGAGGUCCAAUGAAUAUUUGCAUCAAAGUUCUUCAAGAUAGAUGCUAAUAUAUCUAACAUGGUUUUGGAUUUAUACUUUCAGCUCAAACUAAAGCUAAGAAAUCGAUGAAGCUAAAAGCACUCCUUUCGUCCAUAACAGCUUUGAUGUUUCUAAUCAUAGGCAGCUUUAGCUACAUUUACUAUAGAAGAAGAAUGGCAAAAAGAGCAGGUAUUUUCUGAAUGAAUAUAACUCUAGAAGAUAUUUUUUCUUAAACCAUUUUGGACUUGAUAUCAAAGUUCAUUCUCAAUCCAAUUGAGGUAAUGAAAUCCCUCCCCCUUUCUAUUUCAGAUAGAAGUAAAGGUACUCAAGGGGCACAUAAAUCUCACUGGCACAAAGCUGAAGGAGAAGCGAAAGUAUUGAUGAAUGAAAACAGUGAUGAAGCGAUUUGAUGUUCCAUACUUUUCACUUGGAGACCAUUUUUGGCUGCUACAGACAACUUCUCAAAUGCAAAUAAGCUCGGACAAGGAGGAUUUGGUCCUGUUUACAAGGUUAAAAUUACAAUCUUACAUCUCUGUGGACUGGUAUGGACGCACCACAUUGACCAAUAGUAAUGAGAUGAAAAACUUUUGGCAGGGCAUCUUUCCUUGCGAAAAAGAAAUUGCAGUGAAAAGGUUAUCUAGUCAUUCAGGACAAGGCAUAGAUGAAUUUAAGAAUGAAGUGACUCUAAUUGCAAAGCUUCAACAUCGAAAUCUGGUGAGACUACUAUUGGGCUAUUGCAUCAAUGCAAUGGAACAAAUUUUACUAUAUGAAUAUAUGCCACAUAAAAGUCUAGAUACAUUCAUAUUUGGUAAGUUUGCCAAGAUUUGUUCUUUAUUCUCAAGCUACUAUACUUUUGACAAGAUUUAAUUUUGUUAAUUGAUGUCAUUUUAUUUGUUCUAAUGAUAACUAUGCAAGAUGGAAAACUUUGCAAAUUAUUGGAUUGGAAGAAGCGCUAUGACAUCAUAUUGGGCAUUGGACGAGGUCUUGCUUAUCUCCACCAUGAUUCACGACUAAGGAUCAUUCAUAGAGAUUUAAAAACCAGCAACAUUUUACUAGAUAAGGAGAUGAAUCCCAAGAUUGCAGACUUUGGCUUGGCGAGGAUUGUUGAAGGAAAAAGAACAGAGGCAAAGACAAAGAAAAUAGUUGGGACCUAGUAAGUAUAACAUCCUUCCUAUCGAUCAUUUUCUCCUUUUGUUUUUGUAAAAUACAUCUAACACGUUUUCGACAUGGUGUAAUCAAGUGGCUAUAUGUCUCCUAAAUAUGCAUCAGAUGGUCUAUUUUCCAUCAAGUCAGAUGUAUUCAGUUUCGGAGUUGUCAUACUUGAGAUAAUCAGUGGAAGAAAGAAUACAGGAUUUUACCAAUCAGAAGAAGCAUUAAACUUGUUAGGUUAUGUAAGUGAAGAAACUCAGACCUACAUCAUUUUUGUCAUUUUUGCAAGUUUUGAUAUCUAAUUGGAAGUUAUCAUAAGCAUGGAGAAUGUGGAUAGAAGAAAGGGUAAUACAAUUAACAGAGAAGUCAUUACUUGAAUCAUGCAAUAGAAGUGAAGUGAUGAAGUGUAUCAAUGUUGCACUCUUGUGCGUGCAAGAAGAUUCAAAUGAUCGUCCUAAAAUGUCAGAUGUCAUUGUAAUGUUGGUAGGAGAAGGUUUGAGUCUUCAGAGACCUAAUCGACCAGCUUUUGUAAUAAGAACACACACGUCUAGCACAUUGUCUUCUUCCUCAAAAUUCUCUAACAAUCAAGUGACAAUUACAGAAGAAGGAGGACGAUAACAAUGGUGUGAGAUAGUCUUAACUUUUUAUUUAUAUAUGAUACAAUUGUAAUUUUGUCCUGCAGACUUCUGAAGCACUAAGCAGAAACUAGGUCUCAUGCAUGCUUUCCAAAAGCAUAUGGCCUUCAUGAAAAUUGUUAAAUAUUAAAAUAAUCUUAUGCAUAGUCGUUAUAUUGUUGUUUGUAGUAACAAUAAAUCCUGAAAUCUCUUUUUUUAAUAAACUAUCUACACCC